GUUUACAGCCAUACCACCCUGAACAUGCCCAAUCUCAUCUGAUCUCGGAAGCUAAGCAUGGUCGGGCCUGGUUAGAACUUGGAUAGGAGUAAGAGUAGUUGGGAGAGAAGUAGCAGUCAUGU
ensembl:rRNA 5S_rRNA 5S ribosomal RNA